rnacentral:tRNA from 1 species
GGGGUUGUGGCUCAGUGGUAGAGCACAUGCCUAGCAAAUGUGAGGCCCUGGGUUUGAUUCUCAGCACCA